CGCAGCGAAAUGCGAUACCUAGUGUGAAUUGCAGAAUUCCGCGAAUCAUCGAGUUUUUGAACGCAAGUUGCGCCCGAGGCUCGUCCCGAGGGCAUGCCUGCCUGAGCGUCCG
rnacentral:rRNA from 1 species